rnacentral:rRNA from 1 species
UACCAGCUCUCCGAGUGGUAGGGAUGAUUAUUGGGCUUAAAGCGUCCGUAGCCGGCUUAGCAAGUUUCCUGUUAAAUUCAGCGACCUAAUCGUUGAGCCGCGGGAAAUACUACUAGGCUAGGAGGCGGGAGAGGUCGACGGUACUUCUUGGGUAGGGGUGAAAUCCUAUAAUCCCGGGAGGACCACCAGUGGCGAAGGCUGUCGACUAGAACGCGCUCGACGGUGAGGGACGAAAGCUGGGGGAGCGAACCGGAUUAGAUACCCGGGUAGUCCCAGCUGUAAACGAUGCGGGCUAGGUGUUGGGGUGGCUACGUGCCACUUCAGUGCCGCAGGGAAGCCAUUAAGCCCGCCGCCCUGGGGAGUACGGCCGCAAGGCUGAAACUUAAAGGAAUUGGCGGGGGAGCACCACAAGGCGUGAAGCUUGCGGUUC